rnacentral:rRNA from 1 species
GACGUAGGAGGCGAGCGUUAUCCGGAUUCACUGGGCGUAAAGCGCAUGUAGGCGGUUGUACAAGUCGUGUGUUAAAGCCCCUGGCUCAACUGGGGGAGUUCAUGCGAGACUGUGCGACUUGAGGGCAAGAGAGGCACGUGGAACUCCCGGUGUAGCGGUGGAAUGCGUAGAGAUCGGGAAGAACACCAGUGGCGAAGGCGACGUGCUGGGUUGCACCUGACGCUGAGAUGCGAAAGUGUGGGGAGCAAACGGG